GAUGAACGCUAGCGAUAGGCUUAACACAUGCAAGUCGAGGGGCAGCACAAGGUAGCUUGCUAUCUGGGUGGCGACCGGCGCACGGGUGCGUAACGCGUAUGCAACUUGCCCUAUACAGGAGGAUAACCCGUCGAAAGACGGACUAAUACUGCGUAUGCUCACAACUUGGCAUCAAGUGGUGAGGAAAGAAAUUCGGUAUAGGAUAGGCAUGCGUCCCAUUAGCUUGUUGGUGAGGUAACGGCUCACCAAGGCAACGAUGGGUAGGGGAACUGAGAGGUUUAUCCCCCACACUGGUACUGAGACACGGACCAGACUCCUACGGGAGGCAGCAGUGAGGAAUAUUGGUCAAUGGGCGCGAGCCUGAACCAGCCAAGUCGCGUGAAGGAUGACUGUCUUAUGGAUUGUAAACUUCUUUUAUACGGGAAUAACAAGAGUCACGGGUGACUCCCUGCAUGUACCGUAUGAAUAAGCAUCGGCUAACUCCGUG
rnacentral:rRNA from 1 species